AUUGAACGCUGGCGGCAUGCUUUACACAUGCAAGUCGAACGGCAGCGCGGGCUUCGGCCUGGCGGCAAGUGGCGAACGGGUGAGUAAUGCAUCGGAACGUGCCCAGUAGUGGGGGAUAGCCCGGCGAAAGCCGGAUUAAUACCGCAUACGACCUGAGGGUGAAAGCGGGGGACCGAAAGGCCUCGCGCUAUUGGAGCGGCCGAUGUCGGAUUAGCUAGUUGGUGGGGUAAAGGCUUACCAAGGCGACGAUCCGUAGCUGGUCUGAGAGGACGACCAGCCACACUGGGACUGAGACACGGCCCAGACUCCUACGGGAGGCAGCAGUGGGGAAUUUUGGACAAUGGGGGCAACCCUGAUCCAGCCAUGCCGCGUGCGGGAAGAAGGCCUUCGGGUUGUAAACCGCUUUUGUUCGGGAAGAAAUCCUCUGGGCUAAUACCCCGGGGGGAUGACGGUACCGGAAGAAUAAGCACCGGCUAACUACGUG
rnacentral:rRNA from 1 species